GUAUCUCUCAUAUUGAGGACAGUCUGAGACAACCGGGACUGUUUAGCCUGGAGAAGAGAAGGUUCAGGAAGUAUGUUAUCCAUGUGUAUAAAUACACCAUGAGGGUUGUAAGGAAGAGUGAGUUGGGCUCUUCUCAGCAGUAUCCUGUGAAAUGACAAUAGGCAAUGGGCACAAAAGAAAACAUACCUGAACAGAAGAAAACAUGCUUUUACUGCGAGGGUGGUCAAAUGUUGGCACAGGUUGCCCAGAAAAGCUCCAUCCGUCAAAACACUACUGGAUGUGGCCCCGAGCAAUCUGCUGUAUGUGACCCUGUUUGAUCAAGGAGAUGGACUAAGAGAACUCCAGAGGUCCCUGCCAUCUUCAAUGAUCUUUUGAACUCCAGGACAUAAUUAUGUACAUGGUGCAUAGAGAUCAACUAGAGAAAUAACCCACAAUUUAGGUAAAUUUAGUAUCUCCCCAGGUUACUGCUGGGAAGCACUAAAAUUUUCUGAAGAAGUUGGUUAGUAUCGUAAUGAUAGCUGUACGGCUAUACAAAGACUGGAAAGUCAUGACCUGUAAUGGCUGGGAACUGCACAGGCAUAUCAGGUAUGCAGGAGGUUUCUAUGUUGUCCCUAUGCCACCGAUCGUGAUGUGGCAGAACUUCCAAUACACUUAGACAGAAGAUGCGGCCUGUGGCUUAAGGACAGGUCACCAGAAUGCCAACACUGAGAUGUAGUGCUCUCUGAAGUACAUCAUUCUGCUUCUGCUCCAUCAAGACACUUACAACCAUGAUGAAAGUGGAUCCUAAAGACAAUACAUGGCAUGCCAAUGCCAAAGUACAAAUCAGGGAUGAUGGCCUGGAAGACAUUAGUUUAGAUGAGCAAAGUUAUGUUUUGACUUGUAAACAUUUGAAUGACAGUUGCAUCUUAAUAACAUGCAAUAAUCAAAAUGGACUGUCUGUCCAGAACCUGCAGCUGAGCGAUGCUGUACAGAUCCUCAUACAGACAUUUUCUGCCACUUCCCAGAAGGCAGUUGAUGUGGGAUCCACUGGUGUCAGUGAGAACAGCAAGAGCAAGGAGAAGGCAGAAGCUUACCCCACCAAGAAAGAGUGAGCCUACCUGGUUCCCAUCUGGGAAACUUGCCCUCCAGCAACAUUCAGUACAUAGAACACGCUCUUCAUUGUCACCUAAAGAAGACACAAGGACUAAGCUUGCUGAUGUGUUUCUCACUUCUUUGUGAAAAAAAUCACUGUUUUACACUGAAAAUAUGUUUCAUAGUCUUCAUAAUUUUUUAAGUUUAAAUGUAAUGCACUCACAAUGUUAACAGUGAUAUCCAAAGCCAGUGUUUUAACUACAGUGAAAAGGAAGCUAUGGAGAAAUAAAUGCUUUUAUUUUUACUUUUAAUUUUGAAAG
rnacentral:lncRNA from 1 species